CCACUCAAAACAGUUGGGAUCCCAGAACCUGGCAUUAGCUGCAGAUGACAGUAGACUUAAAAGCAAGAGGAGCAAAAUAAGUCAUGUUGUGUGAUCAUCAGAUACAUUUUCUCCAAAUCCUGUUACGGAUAUUUGCCUUCUCAUCUGAACCCGCACUGCGUUCACUGGAACUGGAGACGUGGGUCACUUGCCUAACUAUAAACUAACAAAAACAAAUCUUCCUUUGACUUGAACAAGAGUUCUCAUAUGUGACUUCAAGUGCUUCUGAGUUCAGAAGUCUAGUAAGGGUCAGUGAUCCUUCCUUUUGUGCACUUACGUCUUGUCUGGAUUUGACAAGGCCGAUUC